UCUCUGCUUCCUCCUGCAUGCUCCUCUUCGUCUGUGCUUCCUCCUGCAUCCUCCUCUCAAUCUCCGCUUCCUGCAUCUCCCUCAAUUUCUACGGCGUACACCUCGGAUGUCCCAAACAAAAAAAGGACAAGGAAAGAAUGCCGAAAACACCGUACACAGAAGAUUUUCAAAUAUGAAGAGAUAGUAGACAGGAGAGUUGUAAAUGAAAAAGAAGAAGUUAAAGUCAAGUGGAAGCCCUGCUCAAUAUGGUAAUUUAGUAACAACUUUGUUGGACUGGAACAGACAUUCAUAUUGUUGAUAAAUAGUUAGAUUAGAUAGAUGAAACUUUAUUAAUCCCUCUGGUGGAUUCCUCUGGGAAAUUCAGUUUCCAGUAGCAAAGCACCGAAAGAAGUUGCAUGUUAGAUACAUUAAGGGGAAUGAUAGUAAGGAUAUAAG